rfam:Oryza sativa Japonica Group DNA, chromosome 9, cultivar: Nipponbare, complete sequence.
UUUAAGUGUAAUCAUAAAUUUCCGUGCCCAAUUUUAAUCGUCCGUCUUAUUUAAAAAUUUUUUAUAAUUAAUAUUUUUUAUAAGAUGAUAAAAUAUGAAUAGUACUUUGCUCGUGACUUAUGUUUUUAUUUUUUUUUCAAAAUUUUUUUAAAUAAAACGAACGAUUAAAGUUGGACGUGGAAAAUCAUGACUACGUUUAAA